AUCUCUAGUUGUUUACUGAAAAGGAAAAUACUUCACGGAAUUCCUGAGCUCAUUAGCUGAACAUGAUUUCAGUGAUCACAAUUUUAUUAUGCUUUACAACCAACUUCAGAUCAACAGAAUUCAACAUUCAGAAGAUUCAACAGUAUCCACUCAAAGUACAAUAAUAAUAAUUAGUGCCAAUUUGACAACCAAGUGCAGGUAUUUUAUUAAAAGAAUAAAAGAAAUGUUUAUCAAAGAAAACAAGAAGCAAAGGCUAUUUUCAGAAGGAUCCUCAAAGAUGACUUUUGGUAAAUAUAUAAAGUGUAUAGAUUAAGAAGCAAGAAAUAUAAAACUGAAUUUGAU